CCGCAUACGAUCUACGGAUGAAAGCGGGGGAUCGCAAGACCUCGCGCGAUUGGAGCGGCCGAUGGCAGAUUAGGUAGUUGGUGGGGUAAAGGCUCACCAAGCCUGCGAUCUGUAGCUGGUCUGAGAGGACGACCAGCCACACUGGGACUGAGACACGGCCCAGACUCCUACGGGAGGCAGCAGUGGGGAAUUUUGGACAAUGGGCGCAAGCCUGAUCCAGCCAUUCCGCGUGCAGGAUGAAGGCCCUCGGGUUGUAAACUGCUUUUGUACGGAACGAAAAGGCUUUCUCUAAUACAGAGAGCUCAUGACGGUACUGUAAGAAUAAGCACCGGCUAACUACGUGCCAGCAGCCGCGGUAAUACGUAGGGUGCAAGCGUUAAUCGGAAUUACUGGGCGUAAAGCGUGCGCAGGCGGUGAUGUAAGACAGAUGUGAAAUCCCCGGGCUCAACCUGGGAACUGCAUUUGUGACUGCAUCGCUGGAGUGCGGCAGAGGGGGAUGGAAUUCCGCGUGUAGCAGUGAAAUGCGUAGAUAUGCGGAGGAACACCGAUGGCGAAGGCAAUCCCCUGGGCCUGCACUGACGCUCAUGCACGAAAGCGUGGGGAGCAAACAGGAUUAGAUACCCUGGUAGUCCACGCCCUAAACGAUGUCAACUGGUUGUUGGGUCUUCACUGACUCAGUAACGAAGCUAACGCGUGAAGUUGACCGCCUGGGGAGUACGGCCGCAAGGUUGAAACUCAAAUGAAUUGACGG
rnacentral:rRNA from 1 species